rnacentral:rRNA from 1 species
GACGAACGCUGGCGGCGUGCUUAACACAUGCAAGUCGAACGGAAAGGCCCUGCUUUUGUGGUGUGCUCGAGUGGCGAACGGGUGAGUAACACGUGAGUAACCUGCCCUUGACUUUGGUAUAACUUCAGGAAACUGGGGCUAAUACCGUAUAGGAGCUCCUGCUGCAUGGUGGGGGUUGGAAAGUUUCGGCGGUUGGGGAUGGAUUCGCGGCUUAUCAGCUUGUUGGUGGGGUAGUGGCUUACCAAGGCUUUGACGGGUAGCCGGCCUGAGAGGGUGACCGGCCACAUUGGGACUGAGAUACGGCCCAGACGCCUACGGGAGGCAGCAGUGGGGAAUAUUGCACAAUGGGCGGAAGCCUGAUGCAGCAACGCCGCGUGCGGGAUGACGGCCUUCUGGUUGUAAACCGCUUUCGCCUGUGACGAAGCGUGAGUGACGGUAAUGGGUAAAGAAGCACCGGCUAACUACGUG